rnacentral:rRNA from 1 species
AACGCGAAGAACCUUACCUGGGUUUGACAUACACCGGAAACCUGCAGAGAUGUAGGCCCCCUUGUGGUCGGUGUACAGGUGGUGCAUGGCUGUCGUCAGCUCGUGUCGUGAGAUGUUGGGUUAAGUCCCGCAACGAGCGCAACCCUUGUCCUGUGUUGCCAGCGCGUGAUGGCGGGGACUCGCAGGAGACUGCCGGGGUCAACUCGGAGGAAGGUGGGGACGACGUCAAGUCAUCAUGCCCCUUAUGUCCAGGGCUUCACACAUGCUACAAUGGCCGGUACAGAGGGCUGCGAUGCCGUGAGGUGGAGCGAAUCCCUUAAAGCCGGUCUCAGUUCGGAUCGGGGUCUGCAACUCGACCCCGUGAAGUUGGAGUCGCUAGUAAUCGCAGAUCAGCAACGCUGCGGUGAAUACGUUCCCGGGCCUUGUACACACCGACAUA